ensembl:lncRNA
AUGAUUCUCUUUGUGUUAGGUGGGUGAAGUGGAGUGCAAGGGGUGAGGGGUGGGGUGGUCGUGUACAUGGCUGUCAUCCAGCACUGGGGUUAGGGGAGGGAAUAGUCAGGGGGAGCUCAAGUUUGAGACAAAUGAAAAAGAUAAACAAACAACAGAACAAAACAAACAAACUGCAGGACGUUCCAAUAGUUUUAAAAAUCCACCACUUUAGAGGUCCGAAGGGAUGGUUCAGUGGUUAAGAGCACUUGCUCUAUCAGAAGACCGAGUUCAAAUCCCAGUACCUAUAAAACAACUCACAAACACUGGUAACUCCAGUUGCAGAGGCUUCGACACCCUCUUCUGGCCUUAGAGCACCAAGUACAGACCUGCUGCAUAUGCACACAUGCAGACAAAAACACAAAAUAACAGAAAAAUGAAUAACCCUUAGACCACACCAAAUGAUUUCCAAUUGACAGAUCAAGAAGGUUAUGAGCAGUUUGCGCUCGCUCACUCACAUCCAACUUAGUCCGGUCAACCUUCCUGGUUAGCGCAGGACACUCGGCUCGAUGCCUUAUAAUUCACCCACGUCCCUACUCUAUUUGUCCUUCCUGAAUUUUUGCAUGGUGUCCUCCGGUUUGCUUGCUUGUUUUCUGAUCCAGGUCACAUCUGCGGACGCCAGGAACUGGGGCACUCCUGGCUUUCCCCAUGGUGGUCUUGAUGGUUGUGAGGGGUGCUUGGGAGCCUUGUGGAAUGCUUCCCUCCGAAGUUCAGCCAGCUUUUACCAAGGUAACACUGAGGUUGCCACGGCUUGGACAACAAGGAAGCUGAGGGUCUCUUAUCGGAUCCUGUCAAGUUCAUGGGUACCACCGUGAUUUAUGAGUUUUGCUGUUGACUCUGACACCCUAGCUCCUGUGCUUGCCAGGCUUUGCCACAGUAGGGCUACUUUUGUCCGGGGCUUCUCCUAACACCCCGGUGUUUUCAUUUUCUAAACCGUGUUCUUUCCAGGUGCGGGUUUUUAAUUUUGCAAAACAACUCUCUCUCUCUCUCUCUCUCUCUCUCUCUCUCUCUUUC